UCUCGGUUGGUGGGAAAAUUUGGAGGAGGAAGAGAAGUGUAAUGUCCAAACUUACAUCUGGAUCGCCAAUGAAACCAUCUCAUGGGCAUUAAUUCAUGCUGCAAUCUCUUCGGUUGCCCCUACUGCUAUCAUACCCAUGCAAGACAUCCUUGGUCUGGGAAGCUCUGCUCGGAUGAACGUUCCAGCAACACAGUUAGGCAACUGGAGAUGGAGGAUACCGAGCUCGGUCAGUUUCGAUGGCCUAAAGCCUGAAGCAGAGAAAUUGAGGGACCAGUUGGCAUUGUACAACAGGUUAUGAAGCUAUGGUCAUCAAAGCUUGGUCGUAGCUACUGAACCUUGGGCACCUGUUUCUAUAAUCCACCAGUUUUGAGUCUUUUGAUAGU